GGGUGAUUAGCUCAGUGGUAGAGCGCUUCGUUCACAUCGAAGAUGUCGGGGGUUCAAGUCCCUCAUCACCCACCA
rnacentral:tRNA from 1 species